UCGGGGAUCGUCUAAUGGUAGGACAGCAGGUUCUGGAUCUGCUUAUCUAGGUUCGAAUCCUGGUCCCCGAG
rnacentral:tRNA from 1 species